CCUGUGAGGGUUGCUGGAGGUAUCAGAAGUGCGAAUGCUGACAUAAGUAACGAUAAAGCGGGUGAAAAGCCCGCUCGCCGGAAGACCAAGGGUUCCUGUCCAACGUUAAUCGGGGCAGGGUGAGUCGACCCCUAAGGCGAGGCCGAAAGGCGUAGUCGAUGGGAAACAGGUUAAUAUUCCUGUACUUGGUGUUACUGCGAAGGGGGGACGGAGAAGGCUAUGUUAGCCGGGCGACGGUUGUCCCGGUUUAAGCAUGUAGGCUGGUUGUCCAGGCAAAUCCGGAUAAUCAAGGCUGAGGUGUGAUGACGAGGCACUACGGUGCUGAAGUAACAAAUGCCCUGCUUCCAGGAAAAGCCUCUAAGCAUCAGGUAACAUCAAAUCGUACCCCAAACCGACACAGGUGGUCAGGUAGAGAAUACCAAGGCGCUUGAGAGAACUCGGGUGAAGGAACUAGGCAAAAUGGUGCCGUAACUUCGGGAGAAGGCACGCUGGUGUGUAGGUGAAGUCCCUGCGGAUGGAGCUGAGACCAGUCGAAGAUACCAGCUGGCUGCAACUGUUUAUUAAAAACACAGCACUGUGCAAACACGAAAGUGGACGUAUACGGUGUGACGCCUGCCCGGUGCCGGAAGGUUAAUUGAUGGGGUUAUCCGUAAGGAGAAGCUCUUGAUCGAAGCCCCGGUAAACGGCGGCCGUAACUAUAACGGUCCUAAGGUAGCGAAAUUCCUUGUCGGGUAAGUUCCGACCUGCACGAAUGGCGUAAUGAUGGCCAGGCUGUCUCCACCCGAGACUCAGUGAAAUUGAACUCGCUGUGAAGAUGCAGUGUACCCGCGGCAAGACGGAAAGACCCCGUGAACCUUUACUAUAGCUUGACACUGAACAUUGAGCCUUGAUGUGUAGGAUAGGUGGGAGGCUUUGAAGCGUGGACGCCAGUCUGCGUGGAGCCAACCUUGAAAUACCACCCUUUAAUGUUUGAUGUUCUAACGUUGGCCCCUUACCGGGGUUGCGGACAGUGUCUGGUGGGUAGUUUGACUGGGGCGGUCUCCUCCCAAAGCGUAACGGAGGAGCACGAAGGUUAGCUAAUCCUGGUCGGACAUCAGGAGGUUAGUGCAAUGGCAUAAGCUAGCUUGACUGCGAGCGUGACGGCGCGAGCAGGUGCGAAAGCAGGUCAUAGUGAUCCGGUGGUUCUGAAUGGAAGGGCCAUCGCUCAACGGAUAAAAGGUACUCCGGGGAUAACAGGCUGAUACCGCCCAAGAGUUCAUAUCGACGGCGGUGUUUGGCACCUCGAUGUCGGCUCAUCACAUCCUGGGGCUGAAGUAGGUCCCAAGGGUAUGGCUGUUCGCCAUUUAAAGUGGUACGCGAGCUGGGUUUAGAACGUCGUGAGACAGUUCGGUCCCUAUCUGCCGUGGGCGCUGGAGAAUUGAGGGGGGCUGCUCCUAGUACGAGAGGACCGGAGUGGACGCAUCACUGGUGUUCGGGUUGUCAUGCCAAUGGCACUGCCCGGUAGCUAAAUGCGGAAGAGAUAAGUGCUGAAAGCAUCUAAGCACGAAACUUGCCCCGAGAUGAGUUCUCCCUGAGACUUUAAGUCUCCUGAAGGAACGUUAAAGACGA
rnacentral:rRNA from 1 species